rnacentral:rRNA from 1 species
GUUGAAAGGGAAGCGCUUGCAACCAGACCUGCCUGCAGUUGCUCAUCCGUGGCUUUUGCCCGGUGCACUCUCCUGCUGUCAGGCCAGCAUCAGUUCGGGCGGUCGGAUAAAGGCUUCGGGAAUGUAGCUCCUCUCGGGGAGUGUUAUAGCCCGUUGCGAAAUGCGGCCAGCCUGGACUGAGGUCCGCGCUUCGGCUAGGAUGCUGGCGUAAUGGUUGUAAGCGGCCCGUCUUGAAACACGGACCAAGGAGUCUAACAUCUGUGCGAGUGUUUGGGUGUUAAACCCGUACGCGUAAUGAAAGUGAACGGAGGCGGGAACCCCUCGGGGUGCACCGUCGACCGAUCCUGAUGUCUUCGGAUGGAUUUGAGUAAGAGCAUAGCUGUUGGGACCCGAAAGAUGGUGAACUAUGCCUGAAUAGGGUGAAGCCAGAGGAAACUCUGGUGGAGGCUCGCAGCGGUUCUGACGUGCAAAUCGAUCGUCAAAUUUGGGCAUAGGGGCGAAAGACUAAUCGAACUAUCUAGUAGCUGGUUCCUGCCGAAGUUUCCCUCAGGAUAGCAGUAACGUUUUCAGUUUUAUGAGGUAAAGCGAAUGAUUAGAGGCCUGGGGGUUGAAACAACCUUCACCUAUUCUCAAACUUUAAAUAUGUAAGAAGUCCUUGUUGCUCAGUUGAACGUGGACAUUUGAAUGUAUCGUUACUAGUGGGCCAUUUUUGGUAAGCAGAACUGGCGAUGCGGGAUGAACCGAACGCGGAGUUAAGGUGCCGGAAUGCACGCUCAUCAGACACCACAAAAGGUGUUAGUUCAUCUAG